UAACGCACCGGCGCACGCGCCUUAGAACUAUAAGGAUGUGACGUGAGACGCCGCAAUUUAAACAUCAGGACGACCUCAAACUUUAAAAUCCCGGGGGCUUAACAGCGCAACUGCUCUUGUCUUAAAUGUUUGGAAAAGUUAAGAGACACCGGGACGAUCGCGUUCAACGACAGGAGGAGCUCGGCGACUCCGUGAGAAAGAACAACGCCCUCCUGUAAGCUGUGGGGAAAAGACACUGGGAGAACUUCGUCCUUUAAAACCCACCGAGAAAAGUAGAUCUACGAACCAGUAAGACUCAUUUUUCUAUUUAUUCUGUGUUUUUGGAUGGCCGCCGCGCCGCUCUCUCACAAACACGCACACAUGCACACACACUGACUUUUACAUCCUCCCCUCUUUUUCUCUUUGCUGUGUAUUGAAGGUGCAUUGUCAUGACUGCUGUGUCAUGGCUAUUUAUUUGUCAGCUUGAAAUGUUUUUUUGGUGGUUUUGCUUGGCUGCUGCACCACGACUGUUUUUUUUUUUUUUUUUUUUUUUUUAACAACACCCGUUUGACCGACAUAGCCAUAGUCUGCGCAUCCAAUUUGAACAUGCCCACCAAAUUAUUUCGUCCAACAUGGCCACCCAUUCGUUUGUCUCUGUUUGUCUAUUUCUCUUAGUUUUUCUUCUGUGUUGAGGAACAGAUAUCAGAUCUCUUUAUUGUGUCGGGAUGAAUGGCUUUCCAACACAAUUGGAGCAUUUAGAGGUCCUGUUGUUCGGAUAGUGAACUUAUUUAGAGGAUUGCAGAAUGUAUGUAAGCCCCUUGUUUGUUUGUUUUGCACCUAAACAUGUAGUAAGACUGGCUCUGAAUAUGCUAAGAUACUGAUAGUGUGCAAUUUAGGGUCAGAGCUGCAGUUGAUAAGAAUAGAGUUUCUGUAGUGUGGUUUAACACAACAAAGACUUGUGUUAAAACUUAUUAGUAAACUUGGAUCAAUAUUUAUGCACUAACCCCUUUCCUUUUUAGGUAAAUCUACAAUCGGUGAGUCACAGUUUUUGGAUGGUCGCUGUGCCUUCCUGCUUAUCUGUCUCUGUGGUAGACUAAUAAUUGCAAAAUCCUUCAGCCCUCCUCUAGAGUUGUGUUUUUUAGACUGUAGUAUAAAUCCAUCAGGGUUGUGUCUGUUUCUGUCAAUGGAUCAUCACACAAACUCAUUUCUACCAGCCUGUAUUAUAGUUUCUCAUUUUCACUACAUAGAAAUAAAGUAGAUUAAAGAACCAUGGCCAGAUUUAUUAAUUGGCCUUAAACACACAAUGCGAACUGUCUUACUUUAGAACUGGAGUUUAUUCAUGCAGUUUAAAUGUCAAACAAUUCAAAGCUCUGUCAAAAUCACUGGAUCGUGUGUCUGACAUGAUCGUCUGUCUGUCAGUCCAAUGUGUCAGCACAUCCAUCGUCCAACAUUUUCCUGAUUGCGUCUUUGUUUGUUAUUUUUUUUGUUAUUUUUGGGCUGCCAUGCCAUCUCCAAACUCUAUCCCUCACCCUUUUAUUUCGGCUGCCACGCCGAUCUCUAACGAUCUAUCCUUUUCCUCGUUUAUCCAUUCAAUGUAGCUGUCCGCCAGUUACUAUUUUGUCCUUAUAAUCUUCUAUACAUCUAUAUUUUUAAACCUAUAAAGUGCCAUUUGUUUUUAUAUAGAUGACUGCAGGAAUGUGUCUCUCACCCAUUCAAGAAGUCUUAAAUCAAGAAGUCUUACAAGAAGUUACAAGUAGUCUUAAAUCUGUCUAUCUUGUUUCUCACCUGUGGCAGCACCUCUCUGCCUCUGUGCUUGUCUCUAUCAAUUUAUGUCUGCGCAUCUGUCGACCAUGUGCUGUGGUUUUCCUUGGCCGCUGUGUGAAGCAAAGCCAUAGUACUAUGAUUGCCUAUUUCCUUUUUCGCCAUUUGUCCAUCCAAGAUGACUGACUAUUCAUUCGACUACCUAUAUUAGUCUGUGUAAUCGGUGUCUUAUUUUUCUAGUGAAUCUACAAACAAGUAGGUCCCAUGUUUGCUUAAAUAUGGCCGCCAUGCCAGCCCUUUCUUUCCCCCUCUCACACUAACACACACACACACACAUAUGCAUGCACACUGAUCCUCACACUCUCCUUAUCCACGGUCUUUUUCCAGUUGUUGUUGUCUUGGCCCGCUGCGCCUCUCACAUAAACACGCACACACUGAUACUUACACUGUCUGUCUUUGUGUAUGUCUUUGUCUUGUCAUCUGUGUCUGACCAGACUGACUUCAAGUUACCUUUUAUUAUAUUGUCUUUGUCUUUUGUCUGUCUUUGUCGUCUGUCUCAGUCUGACUCACUGACUUUCAGAUUAGCUUUAUUGGACUGUGCAUGUGCCUCAUCAGUCUGUGUCUGACCAAUUGACAGAUAAGCUUUGUUGGACUGAUAGACCAACUAUCAAAUUGACUUUAUUUGAUUUACUGACUGACUGUCAAAUUAGCCUUAUUGAACUGACCAGCUGUCAAGGGCUGACACAUCAGAAACCUAUAUUACUAAACCUAGUACAGAAAAUUAGCAUUUACAGAUAAUUUGCAAUAAACACUUUACAAAUAUAAACUGUCCUUUCAGUUAUAAUAAACAGUUUUGAAUAACAAUUACCACCAAUUGAACUCAUACAGGACUGAAACAUUUAUCAUUAAUGUAUGGAAGGAAUGAGUCUAAAUAAAUGAACAUGGCAUGUGCCAUGUCUAUUUAUUUCUCUCUGUCCAAUCAGCUCAGAUCAGCUUUGAUGCAUCAACUUCUUAUUUUCAGGUAGAUCUACAAGAAGUUUUUUUUUUUUGUUUUGUUUUUUUUCUUUCUCAGUGCUAUAUGAAGGGAACUGGACUUGCCUUAAGGUUCUUGAAGCUCUUUCAUCUGAACAGCUUCUUUAAUUCUAUUCAGUUGUCUUUGUAUAGCACUUAGAAAUACCAUGGCCUGGAUGACUGAGAAUCUUCAAAAAAAAAAAAAAUAGUUGUAGGUUGCCCAAGCCAUAUGGUGCUGGAGGUUGCAGCAGUUUCAGAAAUUUCCCAUGGCUCCAGAAAAUUCAAUGUGGGAUGCUGUGACCCAGAGAAGUUGUGUCCUGGACAGCUGUGAAGAUGAGGAAGGUCAAGCUGUACCAAAACGCUCCUUUAUGAUGAUGCGUCUGUGCCACAGGAUUGAUGGCUGCAGUCAGCUAUCCAACCUUCAGGAAGCCUGGAAUGUUGUGGCCUGACCUAAGCUCACCCAGCCCUGCACACUGCCUUGACAUCCCGACUGCACAAGUCUGAAUAUCUAUGAAAAUUGGCUUACCAACUUUUCACAACUCACCUGGUGAUCAAACACAAACUAUGGCCAGUAAUGAACAAUGUGAACCUCAGACAAGAUGUAUGUUCUGGGAACACAAGUCCUGCAAGCUUUUGCGCUAACUAUAUACCACCUAAACAGUCACAGAUUCAUCCAACCACAUGCCUCAAAGUGCUUGCUGUCUUGCCACCAGACUCUACAGUGCCACAGCAGCCAGUAUCCUCCACUGACUGAAACAGCCAUACUCCACUCACAGUUAAACUGUCACCUACAGAUAAGACACAACAUAGAAACAUUGCAAAAGUGAUUUCACAGGACCAUUGUAUGUGUAUACACACAGAUAAGUAUUUAUUUUUGUAUUUGAUGUUAACUACAUUCUCCCGUGUUGUCAAAUUAAAUUUCCCCUACACUGAUCAGCACAAGUGUAAGAACACGACACACAAUACUAAAAAACACAGCACCAGAAUCACCAACAUUUAUUAAUUGCAAGCAGGACUGAGCUUGGACAUCUUAACACUACAGAGAACAAGGUCAACAGAGUCGACUCGUAUCAUAUAAGAAGGCAAGGCUUUUCUCCUUCCCCUUCUUCUCUGUGUGUGAGGAAGUCUGUGCUGUAAAUAGUCAUCUCUAAAUUAGACCCUGUUGCUGAUUCUGUCUUAAAGCUGUACUGGUAAGAGUUAAGUAAGUUAUAGGUUUUUAAGAAAUUUGGGGGGGACUAGCUCUACAAGUCCACAUAUAGGCCUUGGACCCCCACUGAGUUGUGUGCCAUGGUUGUGCAGUUUCCAAAACCAGACAAGGAUCCAUCUGGUUUUGUGAAUCAGCUGACUGUGGUAUGCUAUUAUGAUCUUACUGUAAGACGCAUACACCAAUUGGAUGUUGACAUAGUUUAGGGACAGAUUUGGUGAUAUAGGUGUUUAUGGAAAUUUAUUUCUUUGACAUUAACUAUGUUCCCCUGUGCUGUCAAUUUUGACCCCUGUAUUAUUCAAGACGGGUACAACGGAUCACAACACACAAUAAUCAACAACACAUCACUCCACUACAACACUCGAACAGGGCUUGACACUCAACACAACACAAGAUGAAUACCUAUCUGGGGAAAGUGCAAGCAAAAAAUAUUGAUUUUUGGCCAAUGUAGCUGUAUAGGUGAUGCUGAUGUGUGGAAGUGGGUGUUUUAGCUCAUAGAUAAUAUCUUGUGACUGCAUUUAAAAUCUAUAUUGGUAUCCGUAUUGCACAAAUGCUUCUGUAAGUAGUAAGUAAAAUCAUUGCUAAUUUCCCAAGUUGGUUGUUUUGCCUGUUUCAUUUUUCCAUUAGUAUGCUGACAACAGUAAAAUUCAACACUGAAACAUAGCCUCUCUCAACAGAAUUUAACCAGAACCUGGUAAUGCUGCAAUCACUUUAUCAUAUGCAUGCCUCCAAAAAGAACCUUUUCUGUGUGCUUCUGUGGUCUUAGCAACCCCGUAGGCAAACAAUGUAAUUUUUAUUUAUACAUUUAACAUAUAGCAAACCAAGAGAAUGUGACAUGUUCAUUCAUCUUAUAGUUUUCCUAUUUCUUUUAUGACAAAGGUUACAGUUAUACCUGUUCAAAAUGUUUUGAGCUAUUGGUUUUUUUUUUUUUUUUUUUUUUUUUAAAGUUCAGUCUUAAAAUUUGUCCUCUAACAGCAGGUAACUUAAGGCCAUAUGUGAGAAUUCAGAGAUGAAGGAAUAACAGUAGGCACCAUCAUUUUACUUUUACUCCUACUCCUGAUAAUCAGUACACAUCAAGUGCUAAGUUUAAGAUUUAAAUGUCAAAGAAUCAAUUUACUAGAUGUAGUCUUAUGAAUGAGAUACAAUAUGUGUGGAUGACAUCAUGAUUUAAGCAAGUUUAAGAAAAUUAAAAUUCACAUCAAUCUCAACUGGAAACAAACCACCCUCAUUUAUCAGUGCACAUCAAGCAAAGGCUCAUGUACAUCACACAUUUCACUCCGCAUACUAUUCCAUGACUUCUAUUAUUAUAAUGUUGUAGUCAAACUAAACAGAGACACAUUUUAAAUUAGCUUAGUUCUGAUCAUAGUGUAAGUUGAUUAAGACAUCAGAUACAUUGUAC